rnacentral:rRNA from 1 species
GAUGAACGCUGGCGGCGUGCCUAAUACAUGCAAGUCGAGCGAACAGACGAGGAGCUUGCUCCUCUGACGUUAGCGGCGGACGGGUGAGUAACACGUGGAUAACCUACCUAUAAGACUGGGAUAACUUCGGGAAACCGGAGCUAAUACCGGAUAACAUGUUGAACCGCAUGGUUCAACAGUGAAAGACGGUCUUUCCGUCACUUAUAGAUGGAUCCGCGCCGCAUUAGCUAGUUGGUAAGGUAACGGCUUACCAAGGCAACGAUGCGUAGCCGACCUGAGAGGGUGAUCGGCCACACUGGAACUGAGACACGGUCCAGACUCCUACGGGAGGCAGCAGUAGGGAAUCUUCCGCAAUGGGCGAAAGCCUGACGGAGCAACGCCGCGUGAGUGAAGAAGGUCUUCGGAUCGUAAAACUCUGUUAUUAGGGAAGAACAAAUGUGUAAGUAACUAUGCACGUCUUGACGGUACCUAAUCAGAAAGCCACGGCUAACUACGUG